UACGAAGGGUGCAAACGUUGCUCGGAAUCAUUGGGCGUAAAGCGCACGUAGGCGGCCUCAUAAGUCGGAUGUGAAAUCCCUCGGCUCAACCGAGGACGUGCAUUCGAAACUGCGAGGCUCGAGUAUGGAAGAGGGUCGCGGAAUUCCCGGUGUAGAGGUGAAAUUCGUAGAUAUCGGGAGGAACACCAGUGGCGAAGGCGGCGACCUGGGCCAAUACUGACGCUGAGGUGCGAAAGCGUGGGGAGCAAACAGG
rnacentral:rRNA from 1 species